UACGUAGGCAGCAAGCGUUGUUCGGAAUUACUGGGCGUAAAGGGUGCGUAGGCGGUUGUUUAAGUUUGGUGUGAAAUCUCCCGGCUCAACUGGGAGGGUGCGCCGAAUACUGAAUGACUAGAGUGCGGGAGAGGAUAGUGGAAUUCCUGGUGUAGCGGUGAAAUGCGUAGAUAUCAGGAGGAACACCGGUGGUGUAGACGGCUAUCUGGACCGUAACUGACGCUGAGACACGAAAGCGUGGGUAGCAAACAGG
rnacentral:rRNA from 1 species